GACGAACGCUGGCGGCGUGCUUAACACAUGCAAGUCGAACGGAAAGGCCCUGCUUGCAGGGUACUCGAGUGGCGAACGGGUGAGUAACACGUGGGUGAUCUGCCCUGCACUUCGGGAUAAGCCUGGGAAACUGGGUCUAAUACCGGAUAGGAGCCAUUUUUAGUGUGAUGGUUGGAAAGUUUUUUCGGUGUAGGAUGAGCUCGCGGCCUAUCAGCUUGUUGGUGGGGUAAUGGCCUACCAAGGCGGCGACGGGUAGCCGGCCUGAGAGGGUGGACGGCCACAUUGGGACUGAGAUACGGCCCAGACUCCUACGGGAGGCAGCAGUGGGGAAUAUUGUACAAUGGGCGCAAGCCUGAUGCAGCGACGCCGCGUGGGGGAUGACGGCCUUCGGGUUGUAAACUCCUUUCGCUAGGGACGAAGCUUUUUGUGACGGUACCUAGAUAAGAAGCACCGGCUAACUACGUA
rnacentral:rRNA from 1 species